rnacentral:rRNA from 1 species
UUACGGGAGGCAGCAGUGGGGAAUCUUGCGCAAUGGGCGAAAGCCUGACGCAGCCAUGCCGCGUGAAUGAUGAAGGUCUUAGGAUUGUAAAAUUCUUUCACCGGGGAAGAUAAUGACGGUACCCGGAGAAGAAGCCCCGGCUAACUUCGUGCCAGCAGCCGCGGUAAUACGAAGGGGGCUAGCGUUGCUCGGAAUUACUGGGCGUAAAGGGCGCGUAGGCGGACAGUUUAGUCAGAGGUGAAAGCCCAGGGCUCAACCUUGGAAUUGCCUUUGAUACUGGCUGUCUUGAGUUCGGGAGAGGUGAGUGGAAUGCCGAGUGUAGAGGUGAAAUUCGUAGAUAUUCGGCGGAACACCAGUGGCGAAGGCGACUCACUGGCCCGAUACUGACGCUGAGGCGCGAAAGCGUGGGGAGCAAACAGGAUUAGAAACCCCGGUAGUCCU